rnacentral:rRNA from 1 species
UACAGAGGUCCCGAGCGUUGUUCGGAUUCAUUGGGCGUAAAGGGUGCGUAGGCGGCGGAGCAAGUCUGAUGUGAAAUCCCGGGGCUCAACCCCGGAACUGCAUUGGAUACUGCUUUGCUAGAGUACUGGAGAGGGAACUGGAAUUUACGGUGUAGCAGUGAAAUGCGUAGAGAUCGUAAGGAAGGCCAGUGGCGAAGGCGAGUUCCUGGACAGUGACUGACGCUGAGGCACGAAGGCCAGGGGAGCAAACGGG